rnacentral:misc_RNA from 1 species
CGCACAUUGCGCCCUUUGGUAUUCCGAGGGGCAUGCCUGUUCGAGCGUCAUUUCAACCAUCAAGCUCCAGCUUGGUCUUGGACGCGGUCCUGGGACCCGUCCGCAACCAGUUGGCGGUACCGUCCGACCUCAAGCGUAGCAAGACAACCUCGCUUAGGGGCUCGCGGCGGCGCCCGCCAGGAAAACCCACUCUGAAGUUUGACCUCGGAUCAGGUAGGGAUACCCGCUGAACUUAA